GGGUAGUUUCCCGCUUCUGAGUCCCGGCCGUUGGCGGCUGUUGGCGGCCGUUACCUCCCCGUUGCCGGGAGGAGUCCGAGCGGAUUUAGAGUCCUCGGAAGUCCACCGUGCCGUCCGGCCACGGGUAGAGGGAGGCAAAGGGAAGGAGGACUUGACAGUGGGCCUGUCGGGGGCCAUUCGGUAAACUCCAAAGAGCCGAGGGUCCUGAGUGGGAGGGAGCCACGGGCUCGCGAGGAGGCUGCGAGGCGAUCCACGACCUUUCGGGAUGUGAUGCUCACCCGGGACGGGGCUGGGGGACCGCAGAGCCGUGACUCGCCCGGGACCCAGAGCAGAAACUCCAGGUCGCUUCUGGCAUUUUACCUGCAAAAGCAGAUGAGCACACGAGCCCAGAGAGCUGAUUUCCCCCGGUCGCACAGCUAGAGAGCCCAGGAUGGCUUCUUGCUCAGUGCCAUACUCUGUGAAAAUUAUUGGAGAGACCGGCCAGGCUCUAUGAAUGGCACCACCAUCCGUCAGGAGCUAGACCGUAACCUGGCAACUCCCCCCAGGUCCUCCUAUUAUCUUUCAAAUCCACCCUGUCUACCGCCUGCCUCAGUGAUGACAGAAGGGAGAGGAAGUGAUGAAGAGGAUUAACACCCUGCUUCUAAUUCUGGCCACCUCAGAGGCUCUGCACGGAAAAUCAGAAGUGACAGGAAUCCUGGAAGAGGGCCACCUGGCCAUCAGAAAAUUCCAGAGAGAUGUGGUCACUGCCAGACAUACAGUCGGUUAGUUUGAGUUUUUAAAUAUCUCAGGAAAUUAUAAAAGCUUGACUUUGACCCCCUGGUCUGAGAUUCCAAAAAGAAGCAGGGGAGAGUCCUCAAAAUGAACUUCUGAUGCUACAGUUGUAAAUGGUCCAAAGCGAGGGUGGGUUGGGGUGGGAAGGAGAAGAAGAAAAAGGAAGGAGGUAGCCAAGAAGAUUUACUCUCUUUGUGCAGGAAGCUGUUUGUUGAGAUCAGAUAUAUUUUUAAAUGGUGUAUGUAAAGUGUGAAUGAUGAUCUGGGAAAACAAGCAUGGAUAUAAAAAAACUGCCAAGAACGUGUGAGAAAAGAGUCAGAAAUACUAAAUCCAGAAGGAGGCUAACAUUCCCAAUGAUGAAGAGGGCUGUCAGAAACAAAAGCAAGUGUAGAAUCCAUGCAUGGCUGGGAUGGCGUUUCAUCCAUGUUAUGUCAGCAGUAAAGAUACAAGGUGACCACUCCCUCAGACUCUAUGUUACACUUUAGAAAGGAUGGGACAAAGUUUGGUAAGAGGGAUUGAAGAAUAAGAUCACUUAGGAGGAAAUGCUCGCUGUCCUAAAUAAGUUGAAACAUUGGUCUGGCAAUAACAAACCGAAAUAUUAAUAGAAUUUUCAGAUGAAAUUGCUUUAAUCAUUAAAAAUAUGAAGAUUGUA
rnacentral:lncRNA from 1 species